UGCGGUAGCUCAGUUGGUAGAGCAAUGGACUGAAAAUCCAUGAGUCGGCGGUUCAAGUCCGCCUCGCAC
rnacentral:tRNA from 1 species